UACGUAGGGACCGAGCGUUGUCCGGAAUUAUUGGGCGUAAAGAGCUCGUAGGCGGUGUGUCACGUCGUUCGUGAAAACCUGCAGCUUAACUGUGGGCGUGCGGUCGAUACGGGCAUCACUGGAGUUCGGCAGGGGAGACUGGAAUUCCUGGUGUAGCGGUGAAAUGCGCAGAUAUCAGGAGGAACACCGGUGGCGAAGGCGGGUCUCUGGGCCGAUACUGACGCU
rnacentral:rRNA from 1 species